rnacentral:rRNA from 1 species
UGCGUAGGUGGCGCCGUAAGUCGGGUGUGAAAUUUCGGAGCUUAACUCCGAAACUGCAUUCGAUACUGCGGUGCUUGAGGACUGGAGAGGAGACUGGAAUUCAUGGUGUAGCAGUGAAAUGCGUAGAGAUCAUGAGGAAGACCAGUGGCGAAGGCGGGUCUCUGGACAGUUCCUGACACUGAGGCACAAGGGCCAGGGGAAGCAAACG